GCCCGGGUGGCGAAAUCGGUAGACGCAGGGGACUCAAAAUCCCCCGCCGCAAGGCGUGUCGGUUCGAGUCCGACCCCGGGCACCA
rnacentral:tRNA from 5 species